rnacentral:rRNA from 1 species
UGACGGUACUUGAGGAAUAAGCAUCGGCUAACUCCGUGCCAGCAGCCGCGGUAAUACGGAGGAUGCAAGCGUUAUCCGGAAUGAUUGGGCGUAAAGGGUCCGCAGGUGGUACUGUAAGUCUGCUGUUAAAGAGUCACGCUCAACGUGAUAAGAGCAGUGGAAACUACAGAACUAGAGUGCGUUCGGGGCAGAAGGAAUUCCUGGUGUAGCGGUGAAAUGCGUAGAUAUCAGGAAGAACACCGGUGGCGAAAGCGUUCUGCUAGGCCGCAACUGACACUGAGGGACGAAAGCUAGGGGAGCGAAUGGGAUUAGAUACCCCAGUAGUCCUAGCCGUAAACGAUGGAUACUAGGUGUGGCUUGUAUCGACCCGAGCCGUACCGUAGCUAACGCGUUAAGUAUCCCGCCUGGGGAGUACGCACGCAAGUGUGAAACUCAAAGGAAUUGACGGGGGCCCGCACAAGCGGUGGAGUAUGUGGUUUAAUUCGAUGCAACGCGAAGAACCUUACCAAGACUUGACAUCCUGCGAAUUUUCCUGAAAGGGAAGAGUGCCUUAGGGAGCGCAGAGACAGGUGGUGCAUGGCUGUCGUCAGCUCGUGUCGUGAGAUGUUGGGUUAAGUCCCGCAACGAGCGCAACCCUCGUUUUUAGUUGCCAGCAUUAAGUUGGGCACUCUAGAGAGACUGCCGGUGACAAACCGGAGGAAGGUGAGGAUGACGUCAAGUCAGCAUGCCCCUUACGUCUUGGGCUA